AGUGAACGCUGGCGGUAGGCCUAACACAUGCAAGUCGAACGGCAGCACAGUAAGAGCUUGCUCUUACGGGUGGCGAGUGGCGGACGGGUGAGGAAUACAUCGGAAUCUACUUUUUCGUGGGGGAUAACGUAGGGAAACUUACGCUAAUACCGCAUACGACCUACGGGUGAAAGCAGGGGAUCUUCGGACCUUGCGCGAUUGAAUGAGCCGAUGUCGGAUUAGCUAGUUGGCGGGGUAAAGGCCCACCAAGGCGACGAUCCGUAGCUGGUCUGAGAGGAUGAUCAGCCACACUGGAGCUGAGACACGGUCCAGACUCCUGCGGGAGGCAGCAGUGGGGAAUAUUGGACAAUGGGCGCAAGCCUUAUCCAGCCAUCCCGCGUGGGUGAAGAAGGCCCUCGGGUUGUAAAGCCCUUUUUUUGGGAAAGAAAAGCAGCAGGUUAAUACCCCGCUGUUCUGACGGUACCCAAAGAAUAAGCACCGGCUAACUUCGUG
rnacentral:rRNA from 1 species